GCCUGGGUGGCUGAGUCAGUUAAGCAUCUGCCUUUGGCUCAGGUCAUGAUCCCAGGGUCCUGGGAUCGAGUCCCAGUCAGGCU
rnacentral:tRNA from 1 species